rnacentral:rRNA from 1 species
CGGGUGAGUAACGCGUAUGCGACCUGCCCGUUGCAGGGGGAUAAUCGGGAGAAAUCCCGUCUAAUACCGCGUAAUGCCGCGGGGCUGCAUGGCCCUGCGGCCAAAGGGAGCGAUUCCGGCAACGGAUGGGCAUGCGUGACAUUAGCUAGUUGGCGGGGCAACGGCCCACCAAGGCGACGAUGUCUAGGGGUUCUGAGAGGAAGGUCCCCCACACUGGUACUGAGACACGGACCAGACUCCUACGGGAGGCAGCAG